UUUUCCUCAGUUUCAAACAUCUUCAAGGCAGAAACGUGUUGUAUUUGCAUGCUGUUUAGAAGGCAGUGUACUGAAUAGUACCAGUUUUUUCAGAGACAAAUAUGGUGUACUUAUUUGAAAAGAAAGGAUGAUACACAUACAUAGCCAUCCAAAAAAUCCUGCAACCAGUAGCAAAUUAUAUUACACAUUGGACACAUCCUAAAUGAUGCAAGGUUGCUAAUUCUCUCUGUUGGUAAUAUCUUUUGAUGCUGUUGUGUCCAGAAUUGAUUCAUUCCUGUGGGUUCUUGGUCUCACUGACUUCAAGAAUAAAGCUGCGGACCCUAGUGGUGAGUGUUACACUUCUUAUAGAUGGUGUUUCCGGAGUUUGUUCCUUCAGAUGUGUCCAGAGUUUCUUCCUUCCAAUGGGUUCAUGGUCUUGCUGACUUCAGGAAUGAAGCCGCAGACCUUCGCAGUGAGGUUUACAGCUCUUAAAGGUGGCGUGUCCAGAGUUGUUUGUUCCCCCUGGUGGGUUCGUGGUCUUGCUGACUUCAGGAAUGAAGCCGCAGACCCUCGCAGUGAGUGUUACAGCUCAUAAAGGUAGUGCGGACACAGAGUGAGCUGCAGCAAGAUUUACUGUGAAGAGCAAAAGAACAAAGCUUCCACAGCAUAGAAGGACACCCCAGCGGGUUCCUGCUGCUGGCUCAGGUGGCCAGUUAUUAUUCCCUUAUUUGGCCCUGCCCACAUCCUGCUGAUUGGUCCAUUUUACAGAGUACUGAUUGGUCCAUUUUACAGAGUGCUGAUUGGUGCAUUUACAAUCCUUUAGCUAGACACAGAGUGCUGAUUGCUGCAUUCUUACAGAGUGCUGAUUGGUGCAUUUACAGUCCUUUAGCUAGAUACAGAACGCUGAUUGCUGCGUUUUUUACAGAGUGCUGAUUGGUGCAUUUACAAUCCUUUAGCUAGACACAGUGCUGAUUGGUGGGUUUUUACAGAGUGCUGAUUGGUGCGUCUUUACAGAGUGCUGAUUGGUGCAUUUACAAUCCUUUAGCUAGACACAGAGUGCUGAUUGGUGCGUUUAUAAUCCUCUAGCUAGACAGAAAAGUUUUCCAAGUCCCCACCUGACCGAGAAGCCCCACUGGCUUCACCUCUCACUGUUAUACUUUGGACAUUUGUCCCCCCAAAAUCUCAUGUUGAAAUGUAACCCCUAAUGUUGGAACUGAGGCCAGACUGGAUGUGGCUGGGCCAUGGGGAUCUAUCCGUCAUGAAAGACUUAGUGCCCUCUCCACAGUAAUGAGUGAGUUUCCACUCUAUAAGUUCAUGUAAGAGCUGGUUGUUUAAAAGAACCUGGCAUCUCCCUUUUGCUCCCUCUCUCUUGCCAUGUGAUGUGCCUGCUCCCCAUUUGCCUUCUGCCAUGAUUGAAAGUUUCCUGAGGCCUCACUAGAAGCAAAUGCUGGUGCCGUACUUCUUGUACAGCCUGCAAAACUGUGAGUGAAAUAAACCUCUCAUCUUUAUAAA